AGGGCCACCUCGCGUCGCAUCGUCUCCUGUUCGCCCACCCACUUCUGGAGACCGGAGCCUCCACCCCCCACGUUGCCCAGCCCAGGAUGCUGGGCGCCUGCCCUGUGGUCUGGCGGGGCUCCCAGUCCCUGUGUCUGAAGGCGAUUGCAGGUGUGCAGUGCCGAAUGUCCUGAGGUGAUUGAGCAGAAGAAGGACGGGGGAACAGAUGAGAGGGUUUGCACAGGAAGAGAGGCGCACCACCACUCUGCUGGAGAGAGGAGGGAGACCUUUCUGGGAGGCAAAUGGACGUCAUAUUUCAAGGCUUUGAAAUCAGGCCUUCCCUGAUAUGAUAACUCCACUCGGAGAAGUGAUGUAGAAAUAAACAAGGAUACAGAUCAAGAUCUAAGGACAAGGCAGUUCAUCACGGCAGGAAGUGGGGAACGUCAGUGACCAACAGUGGAAGACCAGCAUUAAUAAAUUACGGCACACUACAUAAUGGCAUAUUAUCCAGCCAUUAAAAUCGUUUUCUCAAAGAAUGUUUGAGUCAAUGGGGGAAACGUUCAUGGUAUACGCUACAGGUUAAACAAAGGAGAAUACGAAAUUGCAUAUACCAGUUCAAUCCAAAAGAAUCCUGUCAUGAUGGAAAUGUUGGGUGUCCCUACUGUCCAGUGUUUUAGCCACUAGUCACAUGUGACUACUAAGCACUUGAAAUCUUUGGUUAUUGU